GGUGGCGCCCUGAACCCACAAGUGAGGGCGCCAAAAUAAAGUACAACUCCGUUCGCCCCCUUAUUUCUACCCCAUGUGCAGGAAACAGGGAUUUCGUUUCACCCAUAUCUGAAAUGGCCGGACCGCGGGACGCAGCUAGUAGAAUUAAUUCUCUUAAGUGGGCUUUCCAUUUGCUGAUCUAGUUUGCCUUUGAUGCAUGAUACACAAAUUACAGAUCUGCCAGCAAAUGUUCAGGAAAAGUGUCAACUUAAAGAUUAUAC